UACGUAGGGGGCAAGCGUUGUCCGGAAUCAUUGGGCGUAAAGAGCGCGUAGGCGGCCCAGUCAGUCCGCUCUGAAAGUCAGGGGCUCAACCCCUGAAUGCGGGUGGAUACUGCUGGGCUAGAGUCCGGAAGAGGCGAGUGGAAUUCCUGGUGUAGCGGUGAAAUGCGCAGAUAUCAGGAGGAACACCGAUGGCGAAGGCAGCUCGCUGGGACGGUACGGACGCUGAGGCGCGAAAGCGUGGGGAGCAAACAGG
rnacentral:rRNA from 1 species